rnacentral:rRNA from 1 species
AUUGAACGCUGGCGGCAGGCCUAACACAUGCAAGUCGAGCGGAUGAAGGGAGCUUGCUCCUGGAUUCAGCGGCGGACGGGUGAGUAAUGCCUAGGAAUCUGCCUGGUAGUGGGGGAUAACGUCCGGAAACGGGCGCUAAUACCGCAUACGUCCUGAGGGAGAAAGUGGGGGAUCUUCGGACCUCACGCUAUCAGAUGAGCCUAGGUCGGAUUAGCUAGUUAGUGGGGUAAAGGCCUACCAAGGCGACGAUCCGUAACUGGUCUGAGAGGAUGAUCAGUCACACUGGAACUGAGACACGGUCCAGACUCCUACGGGAGGCAGCAGUGGGGAAUAUUGGACAAUGGGCGAAAGCCUGAUCCAGCCAUGCCGCGUGUGUGAAGAAGGUCUUCGGACUGUAAAGCACUUUAAGUUGGGAGGAAGGGCAGUAAGUUAAUACCUUGCUGUUUUGACGUUACCAACAGAAUAAGCACCGGCUAACUUCGUG